AAAAAAAAAAAAAAAAACUGAAGCGGUAGAACUCGCUCGAUCUCAGUCUCUGAAGGGUGCCUAUCAAGUUGGUCUUGCAAUGGACUCUGCAACUUCCCUUGAUCAUGCCCUCUUACGACUCACUCCUACUAGAACCAGGUGUGAUCUGGUGAUAUAUGCGGGUAAUGUGACCAAGAAAUUGGCUUCUGGGCUUUUGGAAGUUGGAACCAUUUGUUUCUCAUCUGAAAUGCGCUAAGGAUCAGAUUUCCAAAGGAGGGUACUCCACACUCUACACCCUGUGGGCUCACUUGCCCCCUGGUUCGCCAAAGCCACUCUGCAAAGGAAUCAUAUAAUUAUUGUUUAUGGGUUCUUCAUUUUAGGGCAAGGUGUGCUGAAUUUUGAAUUGGAUCAUUAUAAUCAAUUACAAUCAAUAGAUGACUUUGCUCUUAAUUCUUGUGGGGUCGAAUUUGUCAUGAAUGAAUUGGAUUAUGUGCAAGUUAAUGGUGAAAUGGGUAUAUUUGGAUCG